UCCGGCUUAUCACCGGCGGUUCCUCUAGAGUACCCAACUAAAUGAUGGUAACUAAAGGCGAGGGUUGCGCUCGUUGCGGGACUUAACCCAACAUCUCACGACACGAGCUGACGACAGCCAUGCAGCACCUGUGAGGCGCCCUUGCGGACCCCGCAUCUCUGCGAGUUUUCACCCCAUGUCAAGCCUUGGUAAGGUUCUUCGCGUUGCAUCGAAUUAAUCCGCAUGCUCCGCCGCUUGUGCGGGCCCCCGUCAAUUCCUUUGAGCUUUAGCCUUGCGGCCGUACUCCCCAGGCGGGGCGCUUAAUGCGUUAGCUACGGCGCGGAAAACGUGGAAUGUCCCCCACACCUAGUGCCCAACGUUUACGGUAUGGACUAC
rnacentral:misc_RNA from 1 species